AGUGCAGCCCUGAGUCUGAAUUUAGUUUUUCUCCUUGAAAUCUGCAGGUAUAGAGAGUGGAGCAGUGUUCUUCACUUGCAUUCCACCUGGUCCUGGGCUCAGUGGCUCCACAAAGACAAGCAGAUUUGUACACGAGGAUUACAAACACUCCUCAGUGGCUACGAAAAAACACUCCAAAGAAGGGACCUACUUUACUCAGUUGCUGACAGCCACAGGGGUGGACUCAGGAGAACUGUGGCUGAAAACUGCUCUCUGACCAUCCUGGGGUGACUUCGUUAUUGAAGCAAUGACUUCAGUGUUGUGAGCUCAGAAGAUGAUGUGAAAGCCUGGCUUUGGCAAGCAAGACAGCUUGACUUGUAUCUUGGUAAAGCAGGACCCUCUUAAAUCUUUCUGCCUUUGCCCAAUGGUUCAGGUUUAUGUGUGUACUGCAUUAAUUAAAAGCUGGUUGGGAAACAGGACAGACACGGUGCAACACCAUUGCUUGUAUCACACUUUAUGCCAUGUGAGAGCUGAUCCAUGUUCCCAAAGAGCUGACAACAAUCUAUUGGCAAAACCAAGAUGGGAAGGGACAAAUAAAGGUGCAGAAAUGAUGUUUCCAGUGUGAGGAAGAGGCAGCAUCUCUUGAUCUCUGAAUGUAGCAAGUAUUCACUUUAUUUUCAUGCUUUAUGAUGUAUGGGGAUAAAAUGUUGUACAAUUAUAGAGGAGCUUCAAUGGAACUGUAACAAUUUUCCUUGGCCUCUGUCCUGCUGAUUUCCAGCCUGCAACGACCAAACCCAGAUUUUACUUGUAUGGAUCUGCCAGAAAUAUCAGGACAGGAAUUCCUCUCUUAUGUCGACUGACCCCGAGGAGCGCUGGAGGACUGGCAGGGCUCCGGGACGACAAGGGCAAACCCAAGCUGCAGGUUUUUUCUCAGCAAAACAGAAGCGCGAUGAGGAAGCAGGACAGAG